rnacentral:rRNA from 1 species
UACGUAAGUGGCGAGCGUUAUCCGGAAUCACUGGGCGUAAAGCGUGCGUAGGCGGUGCGGUAAGUUGGAAUUGAAAGUCCAGGGCUCAACCCUGGGAUGCCGGUCGAUACUGCCGGACUAGAGUUCGGAAGAGGCGAGUGGAAUUCCCGGUGUAGCGGUGAAAUGCGCAGAUAUCGGGAGGAACACCUAUGGCGAAGGCAGCUCGCUGGGACGUUACUGACGCUGAGACGCGAAAGCGUGGGGAGCAAACAGG